rnacentral:rRNA from 1 species
GACGAAGGGGGCUAGCGUUUUUCGGAAUUACUGGGCGUAAAGCGCACGUAGGCGGCUUUUCAAGUCAGAUGUGAAAGCCCCGAGCUUAACUCGGGAACUGCAUUUGAUACUGUUGAGCUAGAGACCGGGAGAGGAUAGCGGAAUUCCCAGUGUAGAGGUGAAAUUCGUAGAUAUUGGGAAGAACACCAGUGGCGAAGGCGGCUAUCUGGACCGGUACUGACGCUGAGGUGCGAAAGCGUGGGGAGCAAACAGG